CUUCUCCUCCUUCUCCUCCUCCUCCUCCUCCCUUCUGCUCCUCCCUCCUCCCUUCUCUGGCUGGGCGAGCCGCCUUCCCCUCCCUUCCCCUCCUCUCCCUCCUCUCGCUUCUCUUUUCUCCACCCCCACCCCAGGCGCGGGUCUGAAGGCAGGAUGCUCCGGAGAGGGAGCGGGGGUCGGCUGCCCCCUCCCCAUUCAUACCCUCUCCUGCCCCCCCACCCCUCCGUCCUCUUCGUUCCCCCUCCCUCUUUAUUUUAGGCAUGCUGGGAAAUGGAGUCUGGGUCCCCGCUCUGACCAAAUCGACCACAGAAAGCUGGGAGAAGGGGGACUACAACCCCCAGGGCGCGGCGCGGGCCGGGACCAAGGAAUCUGGAGCUGAGGUUGGCCAGGUGCCCAGAGUUCUGCAAGCUGGAUUGGACAGAGGAGCGAAUGAGGCACGGGCCCAAGGCCGGGGGCCUCACUGCAACGGAAGGAGAGAAACGUCUCCGCUGGAUCUUGUAAUAAAGUGAACUGAAUGAAGGAAUCCGAGAACAGAUCGGAGAUCGAGUUACACCUCUGUUGUUCUCCUACUGACCUGAAGCUCUUUGUGCCUCAAUUUCCCUUAAAAAAAAAAAAACCCUAAUAUUUUCCACUCUUGCCCUCUUAGAGGUAUUAUGCCUCAAACCCUUUGGAAGAAGGUUGCCUUGACUAAGCAAUCAAGAGGAUAGUUGUUAUCCAAGUAUAAAAGUUUCCCCAACUACCGCUUCUACCCCAACUAUAAAUUCAAUCUCUUUAGCCCCUGAGAACACAGUUCUUGUUUUAUCUGUUCUUGAGAAUCCUCUACACCUGCUCUAUGGAUCUGCCUGCAUUAGGCAUCUCUACUAUAGAUUUUUGAGCUGGAAGGGAUCUUGAAGCCAUGGAUUCUAGCCCCAUCAUUAUACAAUAAUGCUUAUUGUAUAAAGCAAAGUCUACUACUCUCACAGGCAGUUGCUGGUGCAGCACAUAGAUCUCUGGACCUGGACUUAGGAAGUCCUAAAUUCAUACAGCCUCCAAUUUAUUCACAGCUAACGUGAACCUUGGGGAAGCUAGGUGGUGCAGUGGCUAGAGCCCUGAGCUAGGAAUCAGGAAGGUCUCAGUUCAAAUCGGCCCUCAGAUUUGCUAGCUGUGUGAUCCCAGGGCAAGUCACUUAACCCUUAUUUGCCUAGUCCCUCAUCUGUAAAAUGGGGACAUCCUAGAGAAGGAAAUGGCAAACAACUCCAAUAUCAUUUUGGUCUUUGUCAGGACUUAGAUCCUGGGAUCAUGUACAAUCUGAGGUGACUGAUGUGAGACAUUUAACCUGUUUAUCUCACUUUUUUCCUCCUCUGAAAAUGAAGAUGAGAAUAGCACUUAACCUCCCAAAGUUGUUGUGAGAAACAAAUGAGGUGACAUUUGUUUGGUUUUUAAGCACUAGAUAUAACUUCCCCGAAGUAAUCCCAGCAAAUUUAUAAAACACCAGAGCAUUGGACAGAAUUUUAGAGAAUUCAGGGCUCUGCUUCUCAUUCCAACCCCCAUCUUCCCCCCUUCCAGAUACAAAAAAGCCAAGUUAUUCUUUAAGCCAGUUGUCCCAUGGGCACAUCUGCCCCUGACCAUGUGAUUGGUCUGGAAGUGAUUUUCCAUUAUCCUGAGAGAGCCCUGCUCCUAGAUGAAAGUAACUUCUCUAUAGGAGACUAGAGGACAGAGUAAAGCAGCCUCCAUGUGGCUCUUGGGUUGGGUUUUUUUUUUUCCUAUAAACUAGCUGCAGAUAGCAGGAUCCCCUACUUGGGUUUUCCUCUUUACCUGACACCUGCAGUUUCAAACGUUUUCUUUGAAAAUAGUUAGGAAAUAACUUUCUGUGAACUCACACCUACUUCACAAAGCCUUUUGUGCCUUUCUUUCUCUAAGGACCAAGAGAUUAUACAAUUAGAGUAGAAAUUCUUAACCUGGGAUUUGAAAAAUGAAAAUGUCUUUUGAAUAACUUAUUUCAACAUAAUUGGUUUCCUAGAUAAUUCUAUAUAUUUAAUUUUAUGCAUUUUAAAACAUUAAUCAGAGAAGGGGUCUGUAGAUUUUCUCAGAUUGCAAAAGGGGUCUAGGACACACAAAACAUUGAGUUUUAUUGAGCACCCCGUCUGGGCCAGCCUUGUCUCUCAAUGUCUCAUACGCAACCUUGUCACUCGAUGUCAAUCUUGACCUUAACCAAGGUUAAGCCAAUGGCUUGUGCUUAUCUCUACCACUCUUUGGAUGUGCUGUCCUGGCAUUCACGAUAAUGAAAGAUGAGACACGAAUCAAUCCAUUAAAAAGCAUUAAGCACAUACUAGGCAUUAAAUGUUGCGCUGAGUACUGGGAACAAAGAGAAAAAGUGAAACAGUCUUUGGUCUCAGGAUUGUAUUCCAUCAGGAAAUAAUAUGUAGACAUAUAAGUAUAUAAAAAAUGAAUACAAAGUAAUUUCUGCGGGGAGAGAGGAGCUAGCAUUUUGGAAGAUGAGGAAACUCUUCAUGGAGAAGGUGAUACUCUGAGGGACUAGGGAUAAGGGAUUUGGGACUGAGGGAACCUUGGGAUUAUAAGAGGCACGGGUCAGGAGUGAGUGAAUUCCAGGUAUAGGAGAGGGAAGAUGAAGACCAGAAAGAAGGUGAGUCUGGUUGGACCCAAAAAUAUAUAUGGUUAGCGAGCAAUAUGGAAGGCUGGAACUGUAGGUUAGAAAAUUGAUUAUAAAGGCCUUUAAAAGCCAAAAAAGGAGUUUCUAUUUGACCUUAGAAAUAAUAGAAAGUGUUCUGUAAGAAAUGACCAAUAGGAUGAUUUCAGAAAGGCCUGGAGAGACUUACACGAACUGAUGCUGAGUGAAAUGAGCAGGACCAGGAGAUCAUUAUAUACUUCAACAACAAUACUAGAUGAUGACCAGUUCUGAUGGACCUGGCCAUCCUCAGCCAUGAGAUCAACCAAAUCAUUUCCAAUGGAGCAGUAAUGAACUGAACCAGCUAUGCCCAGAAAAAGGACUCUGGGAGAUGACUAAAAACCAUUACAUUGACUUCCCAAUCCCUAUAUUUAUGCCCACCUGCAUUUUUGAUUUCCUUCACAAGCUAAUUGUACAAUAUUUCAGAGUCUGAUUCUUUUUGUAUAGCAAAAUAACGGUUUGGUCAUGUAUACUUAUGUAUCUAAUUUAUAUUUUAAUAUAUUUAACAUCUACUGGUCAUCCUGCCAUCUGGGGG
ensembl:lncRNA